ACGCUCGACACCUACGGAAGGCAGCAGUAGGGAAUCUUCCACAAUGGGCGCAAGCCUGAUGGAGCAACACCGCGUGAGUGAAGAAGGGUUUCGGCUCGUAAAGCUCUGUUGUUGGAGAAGAACGUGCGUGAGAGUAACUGUUCACGCAGUGACGGUAUCCAACCAGAAAGUCACGGCUAACUACGUGCCAGCAGCCGCGGUAAUCUGAGCGGGCUGGCAAGGC
rnacentral:rRNA from 1 species